rnacentral:rRNA from 1 species
ACUACGGGGUGCUGCAGUGGGGAAUAUUGCACAAUGGGCGCAAGCCUGAUGCAGCCAUGCCGCGUGUGUGAAGAAGGCCUUCGGGUUGUAAAGCACUUUCAGCGGGGAGGAAGGCGUUAAGGUUAAUAACCUUGGCGAUUGACGUUACCCGCAGAAGAAGCACCGGCUAACUCCGUGCCAGCAGCCGCGGUAAUACGGAGGGUGCAAGUGUUAAUCGGAAUUACUGGGCGUAAAGCGCACGCAGGCGGUCUGUCAAGUCGGAUGUGAAAUCCCCGGGCUCAACCUGGGAACUGCAUUCGAAACUGGCAGGCUAGAGUCUUGUAGAGGGGGGUAGAAUUCCAGGUGUAGCGGUGAAAUGCGUAGAGAUCUGGAGGAAUACCGGUGGCGAAGGCGGCCCCCUGGACAAAGACUGACGCUCAGGUGCGAAAGCGUGGGGAGCAAACAGGAUUAGAUACCCCAGUAGUC